rnacentral:tRNA from 1 species
GGAUUGUGGCUCAGUGGUAGUGUGCUCGCCUAGCAUGCAUGAGGCACUGGGUUCGAUUCUCAGCACCA